AUUGAACGCUGGCGGCAGGCUUAACACAUGCAAGUCGAACGAUGAUACCUAGCUUGCUAGGUUGAUUAGUGGCGAACGGGUGAGUAACAUUUAGGAAUCUACCUUUUAGUGGGGGAUAGCUCGGGGAAACUCGAAUUAAUACCGCAUACGACCUACGGGUGAAAGGGGGCGCGAGCUCUUGCUAGGAGAUGAGCCUAAAUCUGAUUAGCUAGUUGGUGGGGUAAAGGCUUACCAAGGCGACGAUCUGUAACUGGUCUGAGAGGAUGAUCAGUCACACCGGAACUGAGACACGGUCCGGACUCCUACGGGAGGCAGCAGUGGGGAAUAUUGGACAAUGGGGGGAACCCUGAUCCAGCCAUGCCGCGUGGUGUGAAGAAGGCCUUUUGGUUGUAAAGCACUUUAAGCAGGGAGGGGAGGCUAAUGGUUAAUACCCAUUAGACGAGACGUUACCUGCAGAAUAAGCACCGGCUAACUCUGUGCCAGCGGCCGCGGUAAUACAGAGGGUGCGAGCGUUAAUCGGAAUUACUGGGCGUAAAGCCGAGUGUAGGUGGCUCAUUAAGUCACAUGUGAAAUCCCCGGGCUCAACCUGGGAACUGCAUGGUGAUACUGGUGGUGCUAGAAUAUUGUGAGAGGGAAGUAGAAUUCCCAGGU
rnacentral:rRNA from 1 species